rnacentral:rRNA from 1 species
UACGAGGGGAGCUAGCGUUGUUCGGAAUUACUGGGCGUAAAGGGCGUGUAGGCGGUCCUAUAAGUCAGAUGUGAAAGCCCCGGGCUUAACCUGGGAGGUGCAUUUGAAACUGUAGAACUGGAGAUCGAGAGAGGAAAGUGGAAUUACGAGUGUAGAGGUGAAAUUCGUAGAUAUUCGUAAGAACACCAGUGGCGAAGGCGACUUUCUGGCUCGAUACUGACGCUAAGGCGCGAAAGCGUGGGGAGCAAACAGG